GUUCUUGCCACCGCUUGGGCGAUUAUCAUCUUUGAAAUCUCUCUCCAUUAGUGGGUUUUCUGAAGUAGUAACAGUGGGUGAUGAGUUCUAUGGGAAGGGUGAUGCUUCGAGUAAACCAUUUGGAUCUCUUGAAAUUCUAAGAUUCGCAGAUAUGUCAGAGUGGGAAGAAUGGUUUCGUUUGAAAGAUGGAGCUUUCUGUCUUCUUCAAAAGUUAUACAUAGAAGAUUGUCCCAAGUUAACCAAGUCUUUGCCCAAACACCUCCCUUCUUUAUUGAAACUUACGAUUGUGAGAUGUGAGAAGCUUGGAGGCUUGCUUCCAAGGGCACCAAGCAUGUCUGAACUUUACUUAAACCAGUGUGAUGCAUUGCAAUUGGAGCCAUUGCCUUGUGGGCUUCGCAAUUUGAAGAUCUAUGAUUCGAAUAUCAAUGAUUCCAUAUUGGAGCAGAUGAUGCGCCACUGCACUCAUCUUGAAAAGUUGGAAAUGGGGUUUUGUUAUGGACUCAAAUCUCUUCCUGAAGGUAGUCUACCAACUAUGCUAAAGGAAUUGGGCAUCCAUAACUGUGAUGCGUUGGAUUAUUCCAAAAUCCUUUCGUAUACAUCCCUUGAAUGCUUAGAAAUAUCAGGCAACAGCAAUCAUCCACUAGAAUCUUUCUCAAUAGGAUCAUUCCAUAAGCUAAAUCGUCUCCGUAUCAGGUCAUGCAAAGGCUUGAAGUCGAUUGGUGCAUCAGAGGGCCCUCACCAACAUCUCGCAUGUCUCAAUUUUUUGAAAAUCGAGACCUGCCCUAAUUUUAUAUCUUUUCCCGAUGAGGGAUUAUCUGCCACCAAUCUGACAACACUUAGGCUUUUUAAUUGCAAAAUUUUGAAGUCAUUGCCUGAGCAAAUGCAAUCCCUCUUACCAUCCCUUGAGGAUUUGACAAUAUUCAAUUGUCCAGAAAUUGAGUCAUUUCCAAAGGUUUACCCUCCAAAUUAAAAGAUAUUACAAUCGGAAGAAGUGAAAAGCUAAUUGCGGGCAGGAAGGAUUGGGGUUUGGAAAGACUCCCUUCAGUUACAACCUUCCAAAUGGAUGAUGCAGAAGAGAUAGAGUCUUUUCCAGAUGAAUAUCUGCUGCCCUCAACUCUUACCAAAAUUUACAUAUUCAAUCUUCCAAAUCUUAAGUUUUUGGACUACAAGGGCUUUCAACACCUCAGCUGUCUUCGCGAAUUGCAUAUCUCUGGAUGUCCAGAGCUCCAAUCCAUGCCGGUGAAGAGGCUUUCCAUUCCUAUCAUUUCCAUUGAGAAUGAAUUCAUUGUGAAAGAGGCCCUUUGGCAUAAUUGAUGCAAUCUCACUCAGUUAUCAUCCACUAGAACAUUUCUAGGGCAGGAAGGAUUGGGGUUUGAAAAUACUCCCUUCACUUGCGAGCUUCUCAAUCUGGGAUGCAGAAGAUAUGGUGUCCUUUCCAGAUGAACAUUUGCUGCCCUCUACUCUUACCCAUUUUCACAUAUGGCGUCUUCCAAAUCAGUUUUUGGACUAGAAGGGCUCUCAGCACCUCACAUCUCUUCGCACAUUGGUUAUCUCGGACUGUCCAAAGCUCCAAUUGAUGCCAGCAAAGAGGCUUUCUAUCUCCCUUUCUUCUUUAUGGCUUACAAAUUGUCCGUUGCUGGAAGAAAUUGCAAAAAGAAGGAAGGUAAAGAUUGGCCAAAGAUUUCCCACAUCCCUGUCAUUGAGAUUGACGGACAAGUCAUUAUGUAGCAGGACUAUAAAUGUCUCAAGUAGUCCUUUGGCCUGAUCAACGCAGUCUGACUCAGGAAUGAGUUUUUUCUGAAGACAAUGAAGAAUGUUGGGGCUCAUCUCAAAGAACUUUACUUAAAUUGUCCUAAGCUAAUCGAGAUCUUGCCCUCUCAAUGAAACUUGAGAAUAUGUGUGGGUUAACUUCAAAUUGCAGCAAUCCAUGUAUUGGAGUUGGUUGAAUUUGAUUCCUUGCCUUUUGAGGGACUGUUUUGUGGUCUGAACGAGGUGAAAAUUAAUGAUUGCUAUACUCCCAACUCAAGGACUAGUAUAGUGUCAUUCCUAUGAAGAGGUGCCUAAUUCAUUCUGGCAAAUUUGAGGUUUUCUUGCAACAAUCUUGUGUUUGCAACUGUGAUCGACAAGCAUGGCAUCAACCUCCAAUUUCUUGCAAUCUUUCUGAAGACUGGCUAGCCUUUUCUGUUUAAUGCAUUUCUUUUG
rnacentral:sRNA from 1 species